rnacentral:rRNA from 1 species
UAGGGAAUAUUGGGCAAUGGGCGGAAGCCUGACCCAGCCAUGCCGCGUGCAGGAUGAAGGCGUUAUGCGUUGUAAACUGCUUUUUUAUAGGAAGAAAUAGUUUUUGCGAAAACAGUUGACGGUACUAUAAGAAUAAGCACCGGCUAACUCCGUGCCAGCAGCCGCGGUAAUACGGAGGGUGCGAGCGUUGUCCGGAUUUAUUGGGUUUAAAGGGUGCGUAGGCGGUAUAUUAAGUCAGUGGUGAAAUACGGUCGCUCAACGAUUGCCGUGCCAUUGAUACUGAUAAACUUGAGUAUGAUAGAGGUAUUUGGAAUGGAUAGUGUAGCGGUGAAAUGCAUAGAUAUUAUCCAGAACGCCAAUAGCGAAGGCAGAGUACUAUGUCAUUACUGACGCUGAUGCA